CGCACCAUUCUUUGACCAAACGAAAGGAGCUGGAGAGGGGGGCCCACCAUCCCACUUCUAUUUUUCUCCGUUUCUUUUCUCCCGCCCCGUAUGUCUCCCAUUUAAACCUCCGAAAACAAACAGCAUUCCAGGUCGCUUUUUCCAUCCCGGCCCAGAGUGUGUCCUUUUGAGCGAACCCUGCUGAAAAGAACAGCUUUGCGCAGUAGACUAGAGGACGAGAAGGAGAACGACGACGUGGAGGUUAGCAAAACAAGAAAACGGGCCCGGCCCAAUUAACAUGUGAAUACGGAACCUACGAGCAAUGAAAAGCGGAUUUCCUCUCAUUGCCUCCCGGGCAACAUCCCCUUUCACUGCCGCGGGCAAUAUUGAAUCUCAACACCAACCUCGAAUGACACAAAAAUAAGGUUGGAUCAGAUUUCUCCCCGAUGCCCAGGUGAGGAGCGAGGCGGCGCUCAGUCUUCGUCUUCCCCGCCGCCGUACAUGUCGGCCAGCUUCUUGAAGCGCGGCCCCCAUUCGGCCAGGCGGUCGUAGUCCUGGUCCCCGGAGCUGGAGGAGUUGAGGGAGCUGAGGGACUGAGCCUCUGAGCCGCCCCCUUCGUAGUCGAACACCAGGAGGGAGUCGUACGGCGGGGCGGUGGGGUCGCUGUCCGCGGCCUUCAGGUUCUGCAGCGCAGCGGAGAGGGAGGCUCAAACAACGGCAAGAGCAACAGCAGCAGCAACAACAACAGAGAGGGAGGCUCCAACAACAACGACAACACAAAACGGGUCACGUCCGUUUAGGAGUUACUGAUAUGAAGGUUAGGCUACUGGGGGCAGGGGAGAAUCAACAGGGCGGCCUGUAGUGUAGUGGUUAAGGUCGGUGGUUCUAAUAUAUGUAAUGGGGCGGCCUCUAGCAUAGUGAUUAAGCUCCAUGACUGGGACCCGCAAGGUCGGUGGUUCGAAUCCCGGUGUAGCCACAAUAAGAUCCGCACAGCCGUUGGGCCCUUGAGUAAGGCCCUUAGCCCUGCAUUGCUCCAGGGGAGGAUUGUCUCCUGCUUAGUCUAAUCAACUGUACGUCGCUCUGGAUAAGAGCGUCUGUCAAUUGCCAAUAAUGUAAUGUAAUGUAAAACAGGGCGUUGAUGUAAAUGAGGUUAAAUAAAAUUAAAUAAAUUGUA